CCUCCCUCCAAGGCUCACACUCUCACCCAGCCUCUCCUGCUACUAAUCACCGACACCUGUUCCCACUUUACUUGUCCCCUUUAUAAGGUCCCUAUUACCCUUUACUCACGGUUCUGAUCUACCAGUUAUGACCAUAGAUCACCUGGACUUCCUACCUCUCUGGUCCCCUAUGCUUCCAUGCUCCUGGCUAUGCUUCUAAGGAAGCAUUCAAGAUUGUGGGCCUCCACCAACUCCCACAGACACUUACGGGAAGCUGUAUGAGGUUCUGCAUGAUUUAUGUAUAUAUUUUCUGCUGUACAAUUAAAAUCACAAUUAUAAACAAUGCUGCAGUUUAAAAUGACAUUAUUAAGUUUGUGUAAAAAAAUUAAUUCUCUCCACUGCACUGGUGGCAUGACGACUGUUUACGGGGGAACUCUGGAGCUUGACAGUGCCCCCUGUUGCUGUUGGAGGCACAAUGGCGCCCUCUACGGAGGUCUGUAGUGGGAUGACAUCCACGGAGGAUCUCUGGCGCUCGACGGCGCCCACUGUGGCCGUUUGUGGCACGACAGCACCCUCUAUGGAGGUCUGGAGUGUGACGUCACCUUCAUAGGAACUUUGAAUCGCAGGGUCGCCUUCAGAAGGACCUUAGAGCAUGGUGGCGCCUUAAGGGAGACAUUGGAGAGCAACGGCACUUCCGGAGAGAAUUCGUAGAACUACUGCGCUUUCGGGGAACCCCUUCAUGGCCAGGCGGCGGUACAGCGUCCAUUUCGUCGCCAGGCGGCAAUACGACGUCCAUUUCGUCGCCAGGUGGCGGUACGACUUCCUUUGCGUGGCCAAAUUUUUUCUUUUUUUACUUUCAUUUGUGUAUGCUCACUAUAUAAACAAAACUUUGUAUUUUUUUAUUUUUUUUAUUUAAUAAAAUAUUCAGGGUGCGCCA